AAGGGGAGAAGAGAGGAAAGGGAGGAGGCUUACCUCUGAUGCCGGUGAAGCUUUUCCGGUGAGCAAUUGGACGGGCACAGGGACGGAUUUUUCACGGUGGUUUUCCGAUGAUUGCCGCCGACUAAGCUUAUGAUCUUUGGUGGAAGGGAGAGAGGAGGGAUCUCCUCCUUAAAUAGAGCCGGAGGGAGCUCGUUUCUGACUCCGGUUGGGAG
rnacentral:lncRNA from 1 species